GCUGCAAGGGAGGAAUUAGGAAUAUUUUGUCUUUAUAAGGUACUUGAACUACCCGUGAAGUGAUAUAGUGUUAUUUGAAAGUGGACUUGGAUUAGUUGUAAAUAUAUAUUGCAAACUCUAGGGCAACCACUAAAAAAAGUAAAAAAGGAAGUAAAAUUGAUAUGCUAAAAAGGAGAGAACACAGAAUUAUAUAAAUGCUCAGUUAAAACCACAAAAGGCAGAAAAAGAAUGGAAGACAAAUAAGAACAUAGAACAAGGGCAAUAAGUAGAAAACAGUAACAAAUAUGGUAGAUAUUAAUCCAACUAUAUCAAUAAUCACUUUAAAUGUCAGUGGCCUAAAUAUACCAAUUAAAAGACAGAGAUUGUCUGAGUUUAUCAAAAAAUAAGACCCAACUAUAUAUUGUCUUCAAGAAACUUACUUUAAAUGUGAAGCUACAUAUAGAUUAAAAGUAAGGUGAUGAAGAAAGGUAUCCCAUGCUAACACUAAUCAGGAGAACACUGUAGUAGCUGUAUGAAUCCAGACAGAGCAGCUUCAAAGCAAGGAAAAUUAUCAGGGAAAAAAGAGGGUUUACAUAAUGAUAAAGGGGUCAGUUGUCUGAGAAGUCAUAAUAGUCCUUAAUGCGUAUGCACCUACCAACAGAGUAUCAAAAUAUGUGAGGCAAAAACUGAUAGAACUGCUACGAAAAACAGAUGAAUCCACUAGUACAGUUGGAGACUUCAACAGACCUCUAUCAGAAACAGACAUAUACAGCAGGCAAAAAAAUCAGUAAAGACAUAGUUGAAUUCAACAGCACCAUGGAUCGACUGGAUAUUAUUGUCUAUAAACUCUUUCAUCUAAAAGCACUAGAAUACACAUUCUUCUCAAGCUCUCAUGGAACCUUCAGCAAGACAGACCACAUUCUACAUCAUAAAACACACCUUAACAAAUUUAAAAGAAUAGAAAUUAUACAAUGUAUGUUCUAAGACCACAAUGGAAUUAAACUAGAAAUCAAGAUAUAAAGGUAGCUGGAAAAUUCCGAAGUAGUUGGAGAUUAAGCAAUACACUUCUAAAUAACAUAUGAAUCAAAGAAGAAAUCUCAAGAGAAAUUUAAAAAUAUUUUGAACUAAAUGAAAAUACAACUUAAAAUUUGUGGAAUUCAGUGAAAACAGUGAUUAGAGGCAAAUUUAUAGCCUUGUAUACAUAUAUUAGAAAAGCAGAAAGUUCUAAAAUCAAUUAUCCAAGAUUCCACAUUAGGAAACUAGAAAAAGAAGAACAAAUUAAAUCCAAAGUAAGCAGAAAUAAGAAACAAUUAGGGCAGAAAUAAGUGAAAUUGAAAAUGAGGUCAAGAGAGAAAAACAAUGAAACUAAAACCUGAUUCUUUAAAAAGAUAAAUAAAAUUAACUUCUAGUCAGUCUAAGAAAAAAGAGAGAAGACACAAUACUAAUGUCGGAAAUUACUAAUAUCAGAAAGUAAAGUUAGGACAUCACUACAAGUCCCAUGGACAUUAAAAGGAUAAUAAAGGAAUACUACAAACAAUUCUAUGCCCAAAAAUGUAAUAACCUAGAUGAAAUGGACCAAUUCCUUAAAAGACACAAUAUACCAAAGCUCACACAAGAAGAAAUAGACAAUCU
rnacentral:lncRNA from 1 species